AUGGUGUCCACAUCUCAGCUUUUUGAGCUUCUGCUCUUCUGGGUUUCAGCCUCCAGAGGUGACAUUGUGCUGACUCAGUCUCUAGCCACCUUGUCUGUGAUUCCAGGGGAAAGAGUCACCAUGACUUGCAAGGCCAGCCAGGGUAUUUACACAAGCAUACACUGUUAUCAGCAAAAACCAAAUGAGGUUCUAAGGCUUCUCAUCAAGUUUGCUUCUGGUUCUGUCUCCAGGAUCCCCUCCAGGUUCAGUGGCAGUGGAUCAUGGACAGAUUUCACCCUCAGCAUCAACAAUUUGGAGGCUGAAGGUGUUGUAAUUUAUUACUGUCAACAGAGUAACAGCUGGCCUCCCACGGUGAUAGAGACUCUAGAGAAAAAAAAAAAAAAGCAGGGAAACCGAAGUCUGAGGCUGGCCUUCUUCAGCUGCUUCUGA